CACUGGCAGCUCAAGUGGUGGCCGUUUUUAUUGGGCCUAAAGCGUUCGUAGCCGGUUUGAUAAGUCUCUGGUGAAAUCCUACAGCUUAACUGUGGGAAUUGCUGGAGAUACUAUCAGACUUGAGGUCGGGAGAGGUUAGAGGAACUCCCAGGGUAGGGGUGAAAUCCUAUAAUCCUGGGAGGACCACCUGUGGCGAAGGCGUCUAACUGGAACGAACCUGACGGUGAGUAACGAAAGCCAGGGGCGCGAACCGGAUUAGAUACCCCGGUAGUCCCUGAGCGGGCUGG
rnacentral:rRNA from 1 species